CAAUCGAGAGAAGACUCUCAUUUUCUCUUCUCUUCUUCUUUCAUUUUCUUCUCUGUUUCUCCUCUUUCCCUUCUCUGUUAUUCUCUGAUUUCUUUUCUGCCGAUGAUUUGUGACUCGUGCAUGAGGAUUUUGAGAUUGAAUCAAGAGUACAAAGAUCAAGGUUGGUUUGCUGGUGGUGAUGAUUAUGGUGCGGUAGCUACUGACUUAAAGGAAGUGGCGAAUUGGAGAAAAUUAAAUUAGGGUUCGUGAUUUUGAUUGUUGUUCUGAAGUUGAAGGUAAGAUAUAGAGCUAGGGAUAGAUGAAGAAUCACGAGUCGGUGUUUAAUUGAAAUUUUGAAGUGGGUUCGGUGAUGAAUUGAAGAAUUAGGGUUUCUUAUAAGUAUUGAUUCAAAGUUGAUUUCGUGAUGAUUAAAAGAAAUUGAAGGAUGGGUUUUGAAGAUUUGACUCAAAGAAGAACAAUAAUUGAGAAAUCAGUAGUUAGGGUUUGAAGUUGUGAAAUUAGAAGUUCAUUUGAGGAUGAUGAUUAGAACAGUUUAUGAGGUUAGAGUUCAACCCUGUUAAUAAGAAAGUUAUGGGGAUGAACAUUGUUCGGAUUGACGUCACGUUGCUGAAUUGAAUCAAGGUGAAGAGCAGUUAGAUUUCAAUUGUUUCAUCAAGGUUAAACUGAGUAUGAUGCAGGGAAUGGUUGAAGUUCUUUAGAUGAAUGUUGUUUAGGUUGAAGCAAAGGAGUUUGAAUGAAUGAGAUUACAAUGAAGACAUGAAUGUACAGGGGGUGGUUCUGUUGAAUGAAUGUAAUUGUUAUUACAAUGGUGUAUUGGUGUUGAGGUUAAUGGAACUAUGAUUAUAGUUUAUGGUUGUAAUGUGUUGUAAGAUAAAUUCGUUGUUGCAUUUGAAGCUAAGAUGGCUGUGUGGUUAAGAUUCAGGGUUGAUUGAAUGUGUUAUGUUGGUGAUGAUGAUAUGAGCUGAGUUUCAGUGAGGCUCUGAAAGUUGUAGUUGAGUUAUUCAAUUGAAGUUACAGGUGACUGAUCUGUUGAAUGCAUUGUGGUGGUUAUGAUGUUAUGAGUUGUUGGUGGCUGAAAUGAUAUGAGUGGAGGUGAACUGUAAUGGUGCAGUUGAGCCUGUUCAACCAAUAAUUGAAGUAACUGGGAUAGAAAUAAGAGGAAGGUGUUCUAAUGCUGAGAAUGGUGGUGUUGAGGGUGUUAAGAUGAGAUGGUCUGGGUAUUGGUCAAAGCCGCAAUUGCAAGUAAUCUUAGUUUAUUUUUGUGAUUAAUCUAUGAAGUUAUCUGUAUUUUAUGUACUGUUGUAUUGAUGUUGAAAUGGUAGAUGAAGGUUUAAGAAUUAGAGUUGAAGUGAUAUGUAACAUGGUGUGCUUAGCCUAGCUUAUCUGACUGAAUUGAUUCAGUCUGAAUUAGAUUGUAUUUUGUAUGAAUUAGUUGGUGUGAGUGAAUUAACUCA